rnacentral:rRNA from 2 species
UUAAUUUGAGAGUUUGAUCCUGGCUCAGGACGAACGCUGGCGGCGUGCCUAAUACAUGCAAGUCGAACGAACUCUGGUAUUGAUUGGUGCUUGCAUCAUGAUUUACAUUUGAGUGAGUGGCGAACUGGUGAGUAACACGUGGGAAACCUGCCCAGAAGCGGGGGAUAACACCUGGAAACAGAUGCUAAUACCGCAUAACAACUUGGACCGCAUGGUCCGAGUUUGAAAGAUGGCUUCGGCUAUCACUUUUGGAUGGUCCCGCGGCGUAUUAGCUAGAUGGUGGGGUAACGGCUCACCAUGGCAAUGAUACGUAGCCGACCUGAGAGGGUAAUCGGCCACAUUGGGACUGAGACACGGCCCAAACUCCUACGGGAGGCAGCAGUAGGGAAUCUUCCACAAUGGACGAAAGUCUGAUGGAGCAACGCCGCGUGAGUGAAGAAGGGUUUCGGCUCGUAAAACUCUGUUGUUAAAGAAGAACAUAUCUGAGAGUAACUGUUCAGGUAUUGACGGUAUUUAACCAGAAAGCCACGGCUAACUACGUGCCAGCAGCCGCGGUAAUACGUAGGUGGCAAGCGUUGUCCGGAUUUAUUGGGCGUAAAGCGAGCGCAGGCGGUUUUUUAAGUCUGAUGUGAAAGCCUUCGCUCAACCGAAGAAGUGCAUCGGAAACUGGGAAACUUGAGUGCAGAAGAGGACAGUGGAACUCCAUGUGUAGCGGUGAAAUGCGUAGAUAUAUGGAAGAACACCAGUGGCGAAGGCGGCUGUCUGGUCUGUAACUGACGCUGAGGCUCGAAAGUAUGGGUAGCAAACAGGAUUAGAUACCCUGGUAGUCCAUACCGUAAACGAUGAAUGCUAAGUGUUGGAGGGUUUCCGCCCUUCAGUGCUGCAGCUAACGCAUUAAGCAUUCCGCCUGGGGAGUACGGCCGCAAGGCUGAAACUCAAAGGAAUUGACGGGGCCCGCACAAGCGGUGGAGCAUGUGGUUUAAUUCGAAGCUACGCGAAGAACCUUACCAGGUCUUGACAUACUAUGCAAAUCUAAGAGAUUAGACGUUCCCUUCGGGGACAUGGAUACAGGUGGUGCAUGGUUGUCGUCAGCUCGUGUCGUGAGAUGUUGGGUUAAGUCCCGCAACGAGCGCAACCCUUAUUAUCAGUUGCCAGCAUUAAGUUGGGCACUCUGGUGAGACUGCCGGUGACAAACCGGAGGAAGGUGGGGAUGACGUCAAAUCAUCAUGCCCCUUAUGACCUGGGCUACACACGUGCUACAAUGGAUGGUACAACGAGUUGCGAACUCGCGAGAGUAAGCUAAUCUCUUAAAGCCAUUCUCAGUUCGGAUUGUAGGCUGCAACUCGCCUACAUGAAGUCGGAAUCGCUAGUAAUCGCGGAUCAGCAUGCCGCGGUGAAUACGUUCCCGGGCCUUGUACACACCGCCCGUCACACCAUGAGAGUUUGUAACACCCAAAGUCGGUGGGGUAACCUUUUAGGAACCAGCCGCCUAAGGUGGGACAGAUGAUUAGGGUGAAGUCGUAACAAGGUAGCCGUAGGAGAACCUGCGGCUGGAUCACCUCCUUUCUAAGGAA